GCGCCUAUAGCUCAAUUGGAUAGAGUACCUGCCUUCGAAGCAGGGGGUUCCAGGUUCGAGCCCUGGUAGGCGCA
rfam:Parcubacteria bacterium GW2011_GWA2_42_14 TV01_C0008, whole genome shotgun sequence.